rnacentral:tRNA from 1 species
GCCUCUGUAGCUCAGUUGGUUAGAGCGUGCAGGGCCGUGGGUUCAAUUCCUACCAGAGGGC